GACGAACGCUGGCGGCGUGCUUAACACAUGCAAGUCGAACGGAAAGGCCUUUUCGGCUGUACUCGAGUGGCGAACGGGUGAGUAACACGUGGGUGAUCUGCCCUGCACUCUGGGAUAAGCCUGGGAAACUGGGUCUAAUACCGGAUAGGACCGCACUUUAGUGUGUGUGGUGGAAAGUUUUUUCGGUGUAGGAUGAGCUCGCGGCCUAUCAGCUUGUUGGUGGGGUAAUGGCCUACCAAGGCGGCGACGGGUAGCCGGACUGAGAGGUUGGUCGGCCACAGUGGGACUGAGAUACGGCCCAGACUCCUACGGGAGGCAGCAGUGGGGAAUAUUGCACAAUGGGCGCAAGCCUGAUGCAGCGACGCCGCGUGGGGGAUGACGGCCUUCGGGUUGUAAACUCCUUUCGCCAGGGACGAAGCGUUUUGUGACGGUACCUGGAGAAGAAGCACCGGCUAACUACGUG
rnacentral:rRNA from 1 species